CUUCACCGAACCCAGCCACAACGGCCGGUCCUCGUCCCGGCCCUGACCGUACGUCGCCAGUAGCGCCUGCGCCUC
rfam:Streptomyces auratus AGR0001 genomic scaffold Scaffold11, whole genome shotgun sequence.